GUGAGGAAUAUUGCGCAAUGGAGGCAACUCUGACGCAGCCAUGCCGCGUGCAGGAAGAAGGCGCUACGCGUUGUAAACUGCUUUUAACCGGGAAGAAACCCCAGGACGUGUCCUGGGUUGACGGUACCGGAGGAAUAAGCACCGGCUAACUUCGUGCCAGCAGCCGCGGUAAUACGAAGGGUGCAAGCGUUAUCCGGAUUCAUUGGGUUUAAAGGGUGCGUAGGCGGAGCGUUAAGUCAGUGGUGAAAUCCUGCAGCUUAACUGUAGACUUGCCAUUGAGACUGGCGCUCUUGAGUGCGCUUGAAGUGGGCGGAAUGUGCCGUGUAGCGGUGAAAUGCUUAGAUAUGGCACAGAACACCAAUUGCGAAGGCAGCUCACUAAGGCGAUACUGACGCUGAGGCACGAAAGCGUGGGGAUCGAACAGGAUUAGAUACCCUUGUAGCC
rnacentral:rRNA from 1 species